rnacentral:pre_miRNA from 1 species
GGAAACUUGGAAACUACCGUUGGAUCGAGAAAUGGACAUCCAACAUUCAUCCACAUCAUCACGAGUUAAAAUUUAACUCGCAGAUUACCUCAUAAGUUAAAAUUUUACUAGGAGUUAAUUUUUAACUCAUGGUGACGUGGACGAAUCUCAAACGUCCAUUUCUCGAUCCAACGGUAGUUUCCAAGUUUCC